ACUGCGAAUGGCUCAUUAAAUCAGUUAUCGUUUAUUUGAUAGAACCUUACUACUUGGAUAACCGUGGUAAUUCUAGAGCUAAUACAUGCUAAAAACCCCAACUUCGGAAGGGGUGUAUUUAUUAGAUAAAAAACCAAUGCCCUUCGGGGCUCUUUGGUGAUUCAUGAUAACUUAACGGAUCGCAUGGCCUUGCGCCGGCGACGGUUCAUUCAAAUUUCUGCCCUAUCAACUUUCGAUGGUAAGGUAUUGGCUUACCAUGGUUUCAACGGGUAACGGGGAAUUAGGGUUCGAUUCCGGAGAGGGAGCCUGAGAAACGGCUACCACAUCCAAGGAAGGCAGCAGGCGCGCAAAUUACCCAAUCCCGACACGGGGAGGUAGUGACAAUAAAUACUGAUACAGGGCUCUUUUGGGUCUUGUAAUUGGAAUGAGUACAAUUUAAACCCCUUAACGAGGAACAAUUGGAGGGCAAGUCUGGUGAGCGAAUGCAGCUCUUUUGCUGACGCCAGACAGAGUGGCUGCCCGGACACGGGCGCUGCUAGUCGAGCACCUGCAUGCGUGAUGGGAAGGUGUCGGCAAGGUAACCUGGUACGAGAGAGCCUGCGGGGGGGACUAGCAUGCGUAGUCCUGCUCUGGCAAUCCCGUGGCGAGCUUCGCACGAAGCCGCUGUAACGCGCGCAAAGGUACCGGCUCCGCAGCACUGCGGGGCUCAAGGGACGCGCUGAUUCCCAUGCGAAAGCAUGUUCUGCGCCACGGACACCCAUCAUGUCCGGGCGCAGAAGACCCCGCCGUGGGUUGGAUUGCGGGCGCUCCGGCGCCGCGCACAACAAGGCCAGCAGCCGCGGUAAUUCCAGCUCCAAUAGCGUAUAUUAAAGUUGUUGCAGUUAAAAAGCUCGUAGUUGAACCUUGGGCCUGGCUGGCCGGUCCGCCUCACCGCGUGUACUGGUCCGGCCGGGCCUUUCCUUCUGGAGAGCCGCAUGCCCUUCACUGGGUGUGUCGGGGAACCAGGACUUUUACUUUGAAAAAAUUAGAGUGUUCAAAGCAGGCCUUUGCUCGAAUACGUUAGCAUGGAAUAAUAGAAUAGGACGUGCGGUCCUAUU
rnacentral:rRNA from 1 species